AGUCAGUUUCUGUAUCUUCGAAGAAAACCAAUUAACAUGAGGGCUGCUACCAUCAUCAUUUUGGCUGUUUGCCUCUUUAGUGUUGCUUUCGCAAUUAAUGACGGUCAUCUCCAUUUACCGUUUCCUUCAACUGCUGCUGAAGGCGAACAAUCAGAAGACUCCAAUGUUUCCAGGACGGCUCCCAGAAGACCCUGGAAACCCAAGAGUCCUUCAACUGCUGCUGAAGGCGAACAAUCAGAAGACUCCAAUGUUUCCAGGACGGCUCCCAGAAGUCCCUGGAAACCCAAGGUCCCCAAAGUUCCUAAAGUACCCAAGGUCCCUCAAGAACACACGGCACCUAAACAUACAAAAAACACCCUUAACAUUUUAUUUUUCUUUUAGAGUCCUUCAACUGCUGCUGAAGGCGAACAAUCAGAAGACUCCAAUGUUUCGAGGACGGCUCCCAGAAGUCCCUGGAAACCCAAGAGUCCUUCAACUGCUGCUGAAGGCGAACAAUCAGAAGACUCCAAUGUUUCCAGGAGGGGUCCCAGAAGACCCAGGAAACCCAAGGUCCCCAAAGUUCCUAAAGUACCCAAGGUCCCCAAAGUUCCUAAAGUACCCAAGGUCCCUCAAGAACACACGGCACCUAAAAGUGUUUGGGGCUAAGAGUAAUACGUUAGUCAAAAAUUAAACUAUAAAAUGUAAAUCGUAAAAUAAAUAAUAUGUAUUUUGAA